AUUGAACGCUGGCGGCAGGCCUAACACAUGCAAGUCGAGCGAGCGGCGGACGGGUGAGUAAUGUAUGGGGACUGCCCGAAAGAGGGGGAUAAAUACUGGAAACGGUAGACAAUACCGCAUACUAUCGGAUAACCAAUAUGGGAUUAGCUAGGAUGUGAGGUAAUGGCUCACCUAGGCGAGGAACCAUACCUGGGCUGAGAGGAUGAUCAGCCACACGGGUACUGAUACACUGCCCAGACUCCUACGGAGGCAGCAGUGGGGAAUAUUGCACAAGGGGCGCAAGUCUGAUGCAGCCAUGCCGCGUGUAUGAAGAAUGCCCUAGGGUUGUAAAGUACUUUCAGUCGGGAGGCGUUACCGACAGAAGAAGCACCGGCUAACUCCGUGCCAGCAGCCGCGGUAAUAC
rnacentral:rRNA from 1 species